AUUGAACGCUGGCGGCAGGCCUAACACAUGCAAGUCGAGCGGAUGAAGGGAGCUUGCUCCUGGAUUCAGCGGCGGACGGGUGAGUAAUGCCUAGGAAUCUGCCUGGUAGUGGGGGAUAACGUCCGGAAACGGGCGCUAAUACCGCAUACGUCCUGAGGGAGAAAGUGGGGGAUCUUCGGACCUCACGCUAUCAGAUGAGCCUAGGUCGGAUUAGCUAGUUGGUGGGGUAAAGGCCUACCAAGGCGACGAUCCGUAACUGGCCUGAGAGGAUGAUCAGUCACACUGGAACUGAGACACGGUCCAGACUCCUACGGGAGGCAGCAGUGGGGAAUAUUGGACAAUGGGCGAAAGCCUGAUCCAGCCAUGCCGCGUGUGUGAAGAAGGUCUUCGGAUUGUAAGGCACUUUAAGUUGGGAGGAAGGGCAGUAAGUUAAUACCUUGCUGUUUUGACGUUACCAACAGAAUAAGCACCGGCUAACUUCGU
rnacentral:rRNA from 1 species